rnacentral:rRNA from 1 species
CCUACGGGGGACAGCAGUGGGGAAUAUUGCGCAAUGGGCGCAAGCCUGACGCAGCGACGCCGCGUGAAGGAUGAAGGUCUUCGGAUCGUAAACCUCUGUCAGCAGGGAAGAACGGUCUAUGUGUUAAUCCGCCGUGAAUUGACGGUACCUGCAGAGGAAGCACCGGCUAACUCCGUGCCAGCCGCCGCGGUACUACGGAGGGUGCGAGCGUUAAUCGGAAUUACUGGGCGUAAAGCGCUCGUAGGCGGUAUGUAAAGUCAAGGGUGAAAUCCCCGGGCUAAACGUGGGAACUGCAUCUGAAACUGGCAGACUUGAGUGUGGUAGAGGAGAGUGGAAUUCCAGGUGUAGGAGUGAAAUGCGAAGAUAUCUGGAGGAACAACAGUGGCGAAGGCGACUAUCUGGAACAAAACUGACGCUGAGGAGCGAAAGCGUGGGUAGCAAACAGGAUUAGAUACCCUGGUAGUC